GAUGAACGCUAGCUACAGGCUUAACACAUGCAAGUCGAGGGGUAACAAGAGGAAAGCUUGCUUUUCUUGUUGACGACCGGCGCACGGGUGAGUAACGCGUAUCCAACCUGCCUAUAACUAGGGAAUAACCUUGCGAAAGUAAGACUAAUACCCUAUGAUUUCCUUUGAUGACAUCAGAUUAGGAAUAAAGAUUUAUCGGUUAUAGAUGGGGAUGCGUCGGAUUAGCUUGUUGGCGGGGUAACGGCCCACCAAGGCAACGAUCAGUAGGGGUUCUGAGAGGAAGGUACCCCACAUUGGAACUGAGACACGGUCCAAACUCCUACGGGAGGCAGCAGUGAGGAAUAUUGGUCAAUGGGCGGAAGCCUGAACCAGCCAAGUAGCGUGCAGGAUGACGGCCCUAUGGGUUGUAAACUGCUUUUAUACAGGAAUAAAGUUAGCCACGUGUGGUUAUUUGUAGGUACUGUAUGAAUAAGGACCGGCUAAUUCCGUGCCAGCCGCCGCGGUAA
rnacentral:rRNA from 1 species